AUUGAACGCUGGCGGCAGGCCUAACACAUGCAAGUCGAGCGGAUGAAGGGAGCUUGCUCCUGGAUUCAGCGGCGGACGGGUGAGUAAUGCCUAGGAAUCUGCCUGGUAGUGGGGGAUAACGUCCGGAAACGGGCGCUAAUACCGCAUACGUCCUGAGGGAGAAAGUGGGGGUUCUUCGGACCUCACGCUAUCAGAUGAGCCUAGUUCGGAUUAGCUAGUUGGUGGGGUAAAGGCCUACCAAGGCGACGAUCCGUAACUGGUCUGAGAGGAUGAUCAGUCACACUGGAACUGAGACACGGUCCAGACUCCUACGGGAGGCAGCAGUGGGGAAUAUUGGACAAUGGGCGAAAGCCUGACGCAGCCACGCCGCGUGUGUGAAGAAGGUCUUCGGAUUGUAAAGCACUGUAAGUUGGGAGGAAGGGCAGUAAGUGAAUCCCUUGCUGUCUUGACGUUACCAACAGAAUAAGCCACGGCUAACUUCGUG
rnacentral:rRNA from 1 species